GUUUAGGGUGCAAUUUUGGAAGACUACAAGGUCGCAUUGAUCUUAAACGAUGGUCAAAAGCAGAUUUAAACUGACCAUGUCGUCGCUGUUGUCGGUUGGGACGCAAACUUACGGAUUUGGCUGUCGUUUCUGGUUUGGAAAUAGAUUCCAAUUUUGGUGGUUAUCGAGUCAAUACCGAGGUUGAAGCACGAUCGAACGUCUGGUUGGCUGGAGAUGUUGCGUUCGUUUGUGAUAUCAAAUUGGGUCGUUAUCGUACGGAACAUCAUCACUUUGCUGUCGUAUCAGGGCGAUUGGCUGGAGAGAACAAUACUGGCAACGAAACAUGGAUGAACAACUGCAGUGCACUGUCACCAAGUUCAUUCUUCGUCGUAUUAUCAGUACGCAAUCGGUGUCGUGCUGUUUCCGUUUGUCGUAUCGUUGAAGGUUGGGUCGAUCACUGGUGUACUCAUGGCUCCUGGGUAUGGCGGAUACCAAAGCACCACGCCGCCGCCUUGCUACACAACGAAAACAUUCGCACCAACCGGUUACUACACUGAGGGCCACAAUUACUACACCAUCAAGGCUCCAGA
rnacentral:misc_RNA from 1 species